rnacentral:rRNA from 1 species
CGAACGCUGGCGGCGUGCUUAACACAUGCAAGUCGAACGCGAACGAUUUCUUCGGAAAUCUAGUAGAGUGGCGCACGGGUGAGUAACGCGUAAGUAAUCUACCCUGAUAUCUGGGAUAACAAUUCGAAAGGAUUGCUAAUACCGGAUACGCUGAUUUAUCAGGAAAGGUGGCCUCUUCAUGAAAGCUACUGUAUUGGGAGGAGCUUGCGUACCAUUAGCUUGUUGGUGGGGUAAUGGCCUACCAAGGCGACGAUGGUUAGCGGGUCUGAGAGGAUGAUCCGCCACACUGGAACUGGAACACGGACCAGACUCCUACGGGAGGCAGCAGUGAGGAAUAUUGCGCAAUGGGGGAAACCCUGACGCAGCGACGCCGCGUGGAUGAUGAAGGCCUUCGGGUCGUAAAAUCCUGUCAGAUGGGAAGAAAUGCUAGUUAUCUAAUAUAUAUCUAGUUUGACGGUACCAUCAAAGGAAGCACCGGCUAACUCC